UACGGGGGGGGGGGCAAGCGUUGUUCGGAAUUACUGGGCGUAAAGGGCUCGUAGGCGGCCAACUAAGUCAGACGUGAAAUCCCUCGGCUUAACCGGGGAACUGCGUCUGAUACUGGAUGGCUUGAAUCCGGGAGAGGGAUGCGGAAUUCCAGGUGUAGCGGUGAAAUGCGUAGAUAUCUGGAGGAACACCGGUGGCGAAGGCG
rnacentral:rRNA from 1 species